rnacentral:rRNA from 1 species
AGUGAACGCUGGCGGUAGGCCUAACACAUGCAAGUCGAACGGCAGCACAGUAAGAGCUUGCUCUUACGGGUGGCGAGUGGCGGACGGGUGAGGAAUACAUCGGAAUCUACUUUUUCGUGGGGGAUAACGUAGGGAAACUUACGCUAAUACCGCAUACGACCUACGGGUGAAAGCAGUGGAACUUCGGACCUUGCGCGAUUGAAUGAGCCGAUGUCGGAUUAGCUAGUUGGCGGGGUAAAGGCCCACCAAGGCGACGAUCCGUAGCUGGUCUGAGAGGAUGAUCAGCCACACUGGAACUGAGACACGGUCCAGACUCCUACGAGAGGCAGCAGCUGGGAAUAUUGGACAAUGGGCGCAAGCCUGAUCCAGACAUACCGCGUGGGUGAAGAAGGCCUUCGGGUUGUAAAGCCCUUUUGUUGGGAAAGAAAAGCAGCAGGUUAAUACCCCGCUGUUCUGACGGUACCCAAAGAAUAAGCACCGGCUAACUUCGUG